CACCGCCUUCCAUUCACUCAAUUUAUUUAUUUCUUUCUUUUUUUCAUUUUCGGCUCUGUUUUGGCUAGGGGAGUCGAAGAGAAGAAAGCAACAAGAUAGAUAGAGAUAGAUAGAUAGAGAGAGAGAGAGAGAGAGAGAGAGAGAGAGUAGAGACGGGAAGAGCAAUGCAAGGGGGAUGACAGGGGGGCUCAAAAUUGUGUUCGCAUAAGAGGAAGAAGAAGAAAGAAGAGCUAAGAGGAGAUGGGAACAAUUGACAGACUGAUCUGGGUAAGGGGAUUAGGAGAACGAUCUAAGAGGGAGUUGAGCUCAAAAUUGAAUUUAUCAUCCAUAGUGUUCAGGGAUUAUGGAGAUUGAGCUUUGCAUCUCGAAGAAUCGACCUAAUUAAAUAUUUUUGGGUGUUCGGCUGAUGCACACGAGCUUGGAAGUCGGACUCGUGAAGAGGGAGC